rnacentral:tRNA from 1 species
UUGUAGGUAGCUCAGGGGUAGAGAGCUUCCUUAGCAUGUUUGAGUCCCUGGGUUCAAACCCCAGCACUAAAAG